rnacentral:sRNA from 1 species
UAAAUAUUAUUAUAAACAAUUUAUUUGUUAUUUCUUGGGGUGCGUUAUUAAACGCGUAUAUUAUUAUCUGUAAAUAAUAUACCCAAAUAUUUUAUUGCUUUCCUGCAUAAUAUUUCAAAUAUUAUUUAAUAAUUUGGUUUAAUUUUUCAAUUUGCCCGUUUGUUUGCAUAUUAAAUAUUAUAAAUAUACGUUUUUUGAAAUUUGAUUUGUAAUAUAAUUUUGUCCGAAAUUAUUAAUAAAUAAUUUGUUUUUCUCCAUAAUUAUACCUAAUGGAAACUUAUAACCAGAUUUUAGCUUUGUGGUAAAAAAUUAAACAAAUUUGGAAAUAUUUAUAUUGUUUUUCAUAGGUACAAAUUGCGUUAUUUGGUUCAUUUAUUAACCACGGUACAAAUAUUAUUUGCUGUCGUUAAAUUAUACUUUAUAUGAAACCAUUCGGUAAUAAAUUUAUAAAUAUUUCGCGCCAAAUAUUAUUUAGCCAGGUUAUAAUUACAACGUAUUAUAUUGGUAAUACUAUUUAAUUUCGCCAUUACUACUUAUAUAAAUAUUAUAUAGUUUAAAUAUUAAUUGAUGUUAUUUUCCACUUCUUGCCAAUAAUAUUUCCUUUAAGUUACUUUCAAAAUCUGGAAGUUUUCCAAUACCCAAUAUAUAAAUUAUUAGAAUAAAACUCCAAAAACUUUUUUUACAUUAUUAUUUAUAAGUACGUAAAAUUUCAAUUUUUAGCGAAAUAUAUUAUUUAAAAACUCAAUUUAGUUAUUUGUUUUCGCGAAAUUAUUAUAAUCUUUUGCUAUUUUAUUGCAAGUUCUUAUUUAGAUUUUUAACAGGUUUUGAAAGUAUAAAAUAAAAGAGCUUUACCCUUGUUGAGUUUUUUUACUUUUUCACUGGUAAUUAAAUACCCAAUUAAAUUAAAUUGAAAUGUUUAAAUUUGGACAUUUUUUCAAAUAGGUCAAAAUUAGCCAAUUUCUUUUUAUUUGAACCUUGACUUAUUAUUUCUUUUGCAAUAAGGGUAGAAACUUAUUUAUAAUAUAUACUUACUUAAAAAGUCGUGUGUAUAACCGGGUGAUAGGGGUUGAUUUUCCUAUAUAAUAAUUAGUUUCAAAAUGAAAAAACAAACAUAUUCUCCAACGCGUUAAUCUUUCUAUUAAAGUUAAGUGUUUUUAUAAAAUUCUGCAAAUUAUAAUAAUUUAUAAUUACCAUUAUUGGAUAUAUAAUAUCUUGCAAGCGAUAUUUUUAAUAUUAAAUAGUAUUAAUUAUAACGUUUAUUGUCUGGUUCUCAAUCGACUAAUUUAAUUAGGUUCCAAACCAAUCUUUAAAUUGGAAAACGACAGGAUACCAGCCGUUUUGGAAACGUUGGAAUAAAAUCGGCCCCUAUAUAUACACCCCGAAAUAUUGGUUUUUCAUGGAAAAGAAAUAAAAAUUGUAAUAACACAAUAUAUAUAUUUAACAAAACGCAGUUUUCAAAUUUUGUAAAUAUUGGAAAACCAAUAUUUUAUUUCCAAGGCGUAAUACUUCCGGGUCUUCAAUUUCUUUUAUAUAUUCUUAAAUAAAAUAAAAAAAGACGUACGAUAAAUAAAUAAAAGCAAUAUAAAACGACGAUAAAAAUUACAAAGCUCCAAAAAAACUUCAAUAUUUCAAUAGGGUUUAGCUGUAAACUAAUCUUUAAUAACGGUUAUUUUGCGUAAAUUGACAAAUAUUUUCAAAUGUCGAUUAUAUAAGUUAAAAAGUUAAUAUUUUCUAUAUGAAAUUCGCAUUUGACCAAUUAGGCGCCAAAGCUUCCUUUUCUAAUCUUUUCUAUAACUGCCCGUAAAUAUCUUUCACAAUUAUUUUUAUAAGGGAAUAAAUCCAAAAUUAUUCAAAUAUAUAAUAUAAUAGCAAUCCAUAAUAUUUUCGAAAACUUUCUUUAUAUACUUUUGGUAAAUUGCUGGCAUAUUGCAAAACCCAAAGAAUAUAAUAAUAUAUUUCAAAUGAUUAUAAAGAAUACGAAAGAAUAUAUUAUUUAUUUCUUACCCUUAUACGGAUUUCAUAAUAUAUAUUUUUGAAAUUUAAUUUUGUAAAUUAAUAUAAAUUUU